CGCACCCCAGCGCCCACCCACCCGACGGGGUUCAUCACGACCGGUGCCGCCCCCUCCCUCCUCUGCUGCGGUGGUGCGGAGGGCGGAUUCGGCGAGCUCGCACGGCAUCCACGGUGGCCUCCGGCAAUCUCAUCGCGUGGCGGCCUCUGCAGCUUUGCAAUCCUUGACUGCCCGUGGGAUUUUAGCGGCGCAAUCGGUGGAGGCAAUCUUUCGCGCUGUUGAUUGCUAUCCCCCGAAUCCCAUCUCCGUUGUUGCCCCUGGCCUAGGCGAUUCUGGCGGAACCGCCGGAGCUGCUCAAUGCGGGACCUGCCAGACCCCAGACUGCGGCUGCCCCUGCGAACUGUGGUGCUGCCGUGUAAUCUCUAUGCCGCAGCGCAUAGAUCUACCCAUUCUCGACCAACAUCAAGUGAAGUUCAGAUCUUUUGUCUGCCCAAAUAACUCCCUUGUUGGUGUCCCUGGCGAAAGAGAGAGGCAGCUAGGCUGCUAACGUCAAUCUGCUGCAUGCAUCUUGGAUGCGGUUCUUUGGGUGGCAAUGGAGCUGCAGAAGCAAUGGGCCAGAGGCCUGACUCACAGGGAGGUAGGUGGUUGGGAGUAUCUUCAGCUGCACCUCAUUCUGUUCAGAUGCCAUGGUACUCAGUGAGAUUGGCUAGGCAUCAGAUGAUCAGAGGAAGAGGUCGCAAGCAACCUACAAGAACGAAAAUCAGCUGCUACAGUUUUCAGCCAAGGCAAAACAGCAAGCCGAACAGGCUGGAAUUCACCGCGCGGACUGCGACGAGCUCAACACAUUUUAUUUUUGUCGUUAGCCUUAUUUAGUCUGAUAAGACUAACAUGUCGCAUGCACAGAUAUAUUUACAAAAUAUUGUAUAAUACCGAUCUGGUUGAAUUGUUUAACACUUACUAAGAAAUAAGGUUUUCCAUCUGCCAUC